rnacentral:lncRNA from 1 species
UUUUAUUGAGGCUAUUUCAAUCCCUAAAGCCACGAGCCACACGGCGUUCCCAAGGAGGCAUGCUGCUUAGUGCUCCUUUUCCCUCGGUAGUGAGAGCCGCAGUCACACGGGCUCAAGCCACUGCACACGUCAGCCAAUAUUGCACACGACAACGUAAGAGUGUACUUAAUCAGUAUAUACAUGUUACAGGUUAACGUUCCACAACAAAGAAAGUAGAAUUUAACAUCCAGAGGAAACAGAGAUAGGAGAAGGGGUUCACGAACCAGUCCAGGGGAGUGAAGAAGACACAAGAAGAAGACAGACACCUCCUGGUGUGGGCCAGUCUGUGGAUCUUGCAAGGAUGUCUUCGAGGUGGUGGAGCCUCAGGCGGCAGAUGGGCAGAAGUUCAGCUACACUAGCAAGGGCUGUGGCCCUCCCUGUGUGUCCAGAUUAUGAACCUCACCCAUCCUGUGGUCCCUGGAGGGUCUUACCCCAUAGAAACUGAGAAUGGACUGAUUGAUUGACUUGAAGACUGAGAAGCUGGACGUGACCUGCUGUGAAAAGAGCCUCUGUAACAAGGGCG